rnacentral:rRNA from 1 species
AUUGAACGCUGGCGGCAGGCCUAACACAUGCAAGUCGAACGAGUGGCGGACGGGUGAGUAAUGUCUGGGAAACUGCCCGAUGGAGGGGGAUAACUACUGGAAACGGUAGCUAAUACCGCAUACCAUCGGAUGUGCCCAGAUGGGAUUAGCUAGUAGGGGGGGUAACGGCUCACCAAGGCGACGAUCCCUAGCUGGUCUGAGAGGAUGACCAGCCAAACUGGAACUGAGACACGGCCCAGACUCCUACGGGAGGCAGCAGUGGGGAAUAUUGCACAAUGGGCGCAAGCCUGAUGCAGCCAUGCCGCGUGUAUGAAGAAGGCCUUCGGGUUGUAAAGCACUUUCAGCAAUGAGGCGGUACUCGCAGAAGAAGCACCGGCUAACUACGUGCCAGCAGCCGCGGUAAUUC